ACCGCCCGUCACACCAUGGGAGUCGAUUGCUCCAGAAGUGGCUACGCCAACCCGCAAGGGAGGCAGGUCCCCAAGGAGUGAUCGGUAACUGGGGUG
rnacentral:rRNA from 1 species